rnacentral:rRNA from 1 species
UCCUACGGGAGGCAGCAGUGGGGAAUAUUGCACAAUGGGCGCAAGCCUGAUGCAGCAACGCCGCGUGAGGGACGAAGGCCUUCGGGUUGUAAACCUCUUUUAGUAGGGAAGAAGCGACUGGGUUUUCCUGGGAGUGACGGUACCUGCAGAAAAAGCACCGGCUAACUACGUGCCAGCAGCCGCGGUAAUACGUAGGGUGCAAGCGUUGUCCGGAAUUAUUGGGCGUAAAGAGCUCGUAGGCGGUUUGUCGCGUCUGCUGUGAAAACCCGAGGCUCAACCUCGGGCCUGCAGUGGGUACGGGCAGACUAGAGUGCGGUAGGGGAGAUUGGAAUUCCUGGUGUAGCGGUGGAAUGCGCAGAUAUCAGGAGGAACACCAAUGGCGAAGGCAGAUCUCUGGGCCGUAACUGACGCUGAGGAGCGAAAGCAUGGGGAGCGAACAGGAUUAGAUACCCUGGUAGUCCUUGCCGUAAACGUUGGGAACUAGAUGUGGGGACCAUUCCACGGUCUCCGUGUCGCAGCUAACGCGUUAAGUUCCCCGCCUGGGGAGUACGGCCGCAAGGCUAAAACUCAAAGGAAUUGACGGGGGCCCGCACAAGCGGCGGAGCAUGCGGAUUAAUUCGAUGCAACGCGAAGAACCUUACCAAGGCUUGACAUAUACCGGAAACGGCUGGAAACAGUCGCCCCGCAAGGUCGGUAUACAGGUGGUGCAUGGUUGUCGUCAGCUCGUGUCGUGAGAUGUUGGGUUAAGUCCCGCAACGAGCGCAACCCUCGUCCUAUGUUGCCAGCACGUAAUGGUGGGAACUCAUGGGAUACUGCCGGGGUCAACUCGGAGGAAGGUGGGGAUGACGUCAAAUCAUCAUGCCCCUUAUGUCUUGGGCUUCACGCAUGCUACAAUGGCCGGUACAAAGGGCUGCGAUACCGCAAGGUGGAGCGAAUCCCAAAAAGCCGGUCUCAGUUCGGAUUGAGGUCUGCAACUCGACCUCAUGAAGUCGGAGUCGCUAGUAAUCGCAGAUCAGCAACGCUGCGGUGAAUACGUUCCCGGGCCUUGUACACACCGCC